AUUGUUUGCUAUGGAGCGUGUGGCACCUCACACCUCUCCAAGGGAGCUGGGGAGAUGUUGAAGAGGAGAGGAACUGGAUAGAUCCCUCUGGGACCCUGCAGGUGGAGAACAAUGUAGUGACUCAGGCUGGGCCAGGAGAAGUGAAGACUCUGUAAUGGAAUCCAGUGAAAGGGAGAAGGAGCAAAAGGAAACAUUGGAGGUUUAGAAGAGACCUAAGUCUGAAUUAUUCUAACAACUCUGUGUCAGGAAACAUAUCCAUGAAACCAAAGAGAAAUAAAGUAAAUCACACUUCAGAGUUAUCACCUAUAGACAUUUAGACUGGGGACAUUAAUAUUUCAGGUACUGCCACUUUCCUAAAAGAGCCAUCAAUGCCUGGAGGUAGAACAGCAACUAAAACAGUAUCGCUUAAUCUGGCAGAUUGCUUAGCCUGAUUCAGCAGACCCACACCAACCCAUGUGCAUGAUUGGCCACACGAGCCUGUGCCAGGGCAGGGGAAGUCCAUAGGAAAACACUGCUCGUUUGAGAGACAAGGGCCUGGGUAGGAACAGAAAAACCAAAGUGGCCCAGAUGUUUAUGUGUUGAGGAGAAGCUGAUGCAAUGCAACCACACUCGGCACAGUUCCCGAGUCUUCUGGCUCAUGUGAGUGGUUCCUCAAUGCAUGAGCAAUGUCAUCAGUCAGAGAGGGACACCACCCAACAGUUCUCCACCCUUCCCAUGCCCCGCAGCACUCCCGACCGACCGUGGGAAAGUUCUGACAUGUCAAAGAACAACAGCCAAUCUUCUGGCAGCAACACCUCCCUAUCAGCUGGAAGGCAAGUGACACCAUUCUCAGCAACUGGGUGUAAAGAAAUCAAGCAUGUAAUGAGUCAUUCACCUGCCCAAGCCUAGUGUAAGAAUGCGACAGGGCCUCCUCAGGCUGCUGCUUGCUGGUGCUUCCACUUAACCACCCACAAAUACAUGGCUAAAAAUGGCGCACGUUUA